GCCCCUGUAGCGCAAUGGGUAGCGUGUUGGACUCUUAAUCCAAAGGUCAUGGGUUUGAAUCCCAUCUGGGAUG